GAAUUCACGUCAGCAGCACAUAUAGUAAAAGUAGAAUGAGAUAGAGAAGUUUAGCAUGCCUCCUUCAAAGAUGGCACAUGAAUUCAUAAAUAAUUAUGUAUUUUA
ensembl:snRNA U6 U6 spliceosomal RNA